CCUACGGGAGGCAGCAGUGGGGGAUAUUGCACAAUGGGGGGAACCCUGAUGCAGCGACGCCGCGUGGGUGAAGAAGCGCUUCGGCGCGUAAAGCCCUGUUAGCAGGGAAGAAAAUGACGGUAUCUAAAGAAGAAGCACCGGCUAACUCCGUGCCAGCAGCCGCGGUAAUACGGAGGGUGCAAGCGUUAUCCGGAUUUACUGGGCGUAAAGAGUGCGCAGGCGGGGUAAUAAGCCAGGUGUGAAAGCCUGUGGCCUAACUCCGGGACUGCACUUGAAACUGCUAGUCUGGAGUGCAGGAGGGGCAGGCGGAAUUCCUGGUGUAGCGGUGAAAUGCGUAGAGAUCAGGAGGAACACCGAUGGCGAAGGCGGCCUGCUGGAACGUAACUGACGUUGAGGCCCGAAAGCGUGGGGAGCAAACAGGAUUAGAUACCCCUGUAGUC
rnacentral:rRNA from 1 species